UACGGGAGGCAGCAGUGGGGAAUAUUGCACAAUGGGCGAAAGCCUGAUGCAGCGACGCCGCGUGAGGGACGAAGGCCUUCGGGUUGUAAACCUCUUUCAGUAGGGAAGAAGCGAAAGUGACGGUACCUGCAGAAGAAGCGCCGGCUAACUACGUGCCAGCAGCCGCGGUAAU
rnacentral:rRNA from 1 species